AUUGAACGCUGGCGGCAGGCCUAACACAUGCAAGUCGAGCGAGCGUCGGACGGGUGAGUAAUGUAUGGGGAUCUGCCUGAUGGAGGGGGAUAACUACUGGGAACUGUAGCUAAUACCGCAUACAAUCAGAUGAACCCAAAUGGGAUUAGCUUGUGGGUGAGGUAACGGCUCACCUAGGAGAAGAUCCCUAGCUGGUCUGAGAGGAUGAUCGGCCACACUGGGACUGAGACACGGCCCAGACUCCUACGGGAGGCAGCAGUGGGGAAUAUUGCACAAUGGGCGAAAGCCUGAUGCAGCAAUGCCGCGUGAGUGAAGAAGGCCUUCGGGUUGUAAAGUACUUUCAGUCGUGAGGCGUUACCGACAGAGGAAGCACCGGCUAACUCCGUGCCAGCAGCCGCGGUAAUUC
rnacentral:rRNA from 1 species